GACGAACGCUGGCGGCGUGCUUAAUACAUGCAAGUCGAACGGAAAGGCCCUGCUUUUGUGGGGUGCUCGAGUGGCGAACGGGUGAGUAACACGUGAGUAACCUGCCCUUGACUUUGGGAUAACUUCAGGAAACUGGGGCUAAUACCGGAUAGGAGCUCCUGCUGCAUGGUGGGGGUUGGAAAGUUUCGGCGGUUGGGGAUGGACUCGCGGCUUAUCAGCUUGUUGGUGGGGUAGUGGCUUACCAAGGCUUUGACGGGUAGCCGGCCUGAGAGGGUGACCGGCCACAUUGGGACUGAGAUACGGCCCAGACUCCUACGGGAGGCAGCAGUGGGGAAUAUUGCACAAUGGGCGGAAGCCUGAUGCGGCAACGCCGCGUGCGGGAUGACGGCCUUCGGGUUGUAAACCGCUUUCGCCUGUGACGAAGCGUGAGUGACGGUAAUGGGUAAAGAAGCACCGGCUAACUACGUG
rnacentral:rRNA from 1 species